UAGGGAAUCUUCCGCAAUGGGCGAAAGCCUGACGGAGCAACGCCGCGUGAGUGAUGAAGGUCUUCGGAUCGUAAACUCUGUUAUUAGGGAAGAACAAAUGUGUAAGUAACUAUGCACGUCUUGACGGUACCUAAUCAGAAAGCCACGGCUAACUACGUGCCAGCAGCCGCGGUAAUACGUAGGUGGCAAGCGUUAUCCGGAAUUAUUGGGCGUAAAGCGCGCGUAGGCGGUUUUUUAAGUCUGAUGUGAAAGCCCACGGCUCAACCGUGGAGGGUCAUUGGAAACUGGAAAACUUGAGUGCAGAAGAGGAAAGUGGAAUUCCAUGUGUAGCAGUGAAAUGCGCAGAGAUAUGGAGGAACACCAGUGGCGAAGGCGACUUUCUGGUCUGUAACUGACGCUGAUGUGCGAAAGCGUGGGGAUCAAACAGG
rnacentral:rRNA from 1 species